rnacentral:misc_RNA from 1 species
AGCUUAAACGAAAAACAAUGAACUGUUAACUUAUUGCUUUUACCAACAUAUUCUUUGCGUUAUUGAAACUACAAAUCACCAAAUAACUACGUGCGUUUUCUUCAAGGUAAUCGUUGAAAACUUACAAGCAAUAUUCACCUCCAUUGACGGAAUGAAGAAUUUUUAACUUGCUUCCAAGUGUAUUCACAUAGCUGACGAGUUCUUGAGACGUCUUAUCGGUUGCGAAGUUUGUUCCGAAGUUACAGUAUAUGCCAUUGACCAAAGCCUCAGUGGUUAUGGCAACUAUGUGGUGCAAAACCGUGAAGAAUUUCGGGAGAAGUUGAAAUGGAUCAUGG